rnacentral:tRNA from 1 species
GGGCGCGUAGUCUAGCCUGGAUAAGGCGCCAGCCUUCGAAGUUGGAGGUCUCAGGUUCGAAUCCUGACGCGCCCGCCA